rnacentral:rRNA from 1 species
ACGCUCGACACCUACGGGAUGCAGCAGUGGGGAAUAUUGCACAAUGGGGGAAACCCUGAUGCAGCGACGCCGCGUGAGCGAAGAAGUAUUUCGGUAUGUAAAGCUCUAUCAGCAGGGAAGAAACUGACGGUACCUGACUAAGAAGCACCGGCUAAAUACGUGCAAGCAGCCGCGGUAAUCUGAGCGGGCUGGCAAGGC